AUUGAACGCUGGCGGAAUGCUUUACACAUGCAAGUCGAACGGCAGCACGGACUUCGGUCUGGUGGCGAGUGGCGAGCGGGUGAGUAAUAUAUCGGAACGUGCCCAGUCGUGGGGGAUAACGUAGUGAAAAUUACGCUAAUACCGCAUACGAUCUACGGAUGAAAGCGGGGGAUCGCAAGACCUCGCGCGAUUGGAGCGGCCGAUAUCAGAUUAGGUAGUUGGUGAGGUAAAGGCUCACCAAGCCGACGAUCUGUAGCUGGUCUGGGAGGACGACCAGCCACACUGAAGCUGAGACACGGUCCAGACUCCUACGGGAGGCAGCAGUGGGGAAUUUUGGACAAUGGACGAAAGUCUGAUCCAGCCAUUCCGCGUGCAGGACGAAGGCCUUCGGGUUGUAAACUGCUUUUGUACAGAACGAAAAGGUCUCUAUUAAUACUAGGGGCUCAUGACGGUACUGUAAGAAUAAGCACCGGCUAACUACGUGCCAGCAGCCGCGGUAA
rnacentral:rRNA from 1 species